GGGUUGUGAGGUUAAGCGACUAAGCGUACACGGUGGAUGCCCUGGCAGUCAGAGGCGAUGAAGGGCGUGCUAAUCUGCGAUAAGCGCCGGUAAGGUGAUAUGAACCGUUAUAACCGGCGAUACCCGAAUGGGGAAACCCAGUGUGACUCGUCACACUAUCAUUACGUGAAUACAUAGCGUAAUGAAGCGAACCG
rnacentral:rRNA from 1 species